ensembl:lncRNA
UGCAGCCUUGGUGAGCAUUAGAGACUUUUCAAAAACUUUCAAAAACAAUGCAGACUUUUUAACAGUAGUGUAUAUCAUUCUGUUACCACAGGAAGUUCUGCAUCUCCUCCAAAAAUCUCCGUCUGAGAUUAGGCUGUCAAUCUGCAGACCUUCACAGGAUGAACAUACAGAUAUUGAGAUCUCUCUGGUAACAUCCUUUCUCUAUAUGGUUGCAAACAACUCUAAAACUGACAUGUUAUUUUUCAAACUCACAUCCUUUUUUGACAGGGUCAUGACACACUUCCAACCCGUUCACUGAGAUCCAGGUCUCUAGACCUGCAGACAAGAACUGUUGGUCCAGACUUUAGUGAACUCCUCAAGAAGCAGGCAAUAGAGGUGGAUCUAAAGAAAAAAGUUUCCCCAGAGAAAACCCAGGAGAUCCCAUUGACCCAACAGAAACCAGAUACUGAGCUGGUGGAUACGACUAUAUCAGCCCCUCCACCCCUACCUCCACGCCCAUCCUCAGGUGAAGCUGGAGAACCUAAACCUCAUGCCAUAAUGGGGGAGGGGCAUGAGAGCAAAGCCCCACCCCCAACACCAAGCGAUGUUAAAGUGACAACAGCCAUCCCAGCACCAACACCAGCAGCCCCUGAAACAGCAAUUGCAACCCAUCAGCAAGAGUCAAAAAAUGAUACCAUCUCAACCAACCUUGUCUCAGCUUGUACCAGUCACACAACUGAAGAUGUGGAAGAGAGCAUGACAAGUUUCACAGCUAAUGGACUGACCAUCAUAGCCGAUGAGGAAUACUUGACCAUCACCACCACAGCUCCCUCUCCUCCAAGCAGCAGCAUUGCUGUCUCCAAUGAACCGCCACCACCAUCAGCCCUUUCUCCAUCACUGUUAAGCACACCUCCAUCCUACCAGCAAGCAACUCAAGUGUCAUCUCCAGUGAAACCUCCUGCCCAGUUUACCGUCCCCUCAGCCAGAAACAACAACGGCUGGGACGAUGAUGAAGAAGAGGAGGAUGAUGAAGAUCCCCAAAGGGUAAAGUCUGAUUGCAUUUGCCUACAGAUGUACAAACCAUUAGAUAAGCAUAAAUUUCAGUGCUGA